rnacentral:sRNA from 1 species
CCUGAUCCGUAGCCGAACCCUGUCAGCGGAUCAGCGACCCGCAUUGACAGGGGCGGAGGACCCACCAUCGGCAGCCUACCCAGCUGCCUAGGGGUGAAGCCACGCUUGAUUUCGGUACCAGCUGCUUUCCGCGCUGAUGCCGCACGUCUUGUGGCCGAGUUAUCUCUUACUCGAAUCCGACAGCUAACUUCGCAGGCUUAUAGGAGAGGGAAG